ACGACGCUGGCGGCGUGCUUAACACAUGCAAGUCGAACGGUAAGGCCCUUCGGGGUACACGAGUGGCGAACGGGUGAGUAACACGUGGGUGAUCUGCCCUGCACUUCGGGAUAAGCCUGGGAAACUGGGUCUAAUACCGGAUAGGACCAUGGACUUCACGGUUUGUGGUGGAAAGCUUUUGCGGUGUGGGAUGGGCCCGCGGCCUAUCAGCUUGUUGGUGGGGUAAUGGCCUACCAAGGCGACGACGGGUAGCCGGCCUGAGAGGGUGUCCGGCCACACUGGGACUGAGAUACGGCCCAGACUCCUACGGGAGGCAGCAGUGGGGAAUAUUGCACAAUGGGCGCAAGCCUGAUGCAGCGACGCCGCGUGAGGGAUGACGGCCUUCGGGUUGUAAACCUCUUUCAAUAGGGACGAAGCGCAAGUGACGGUACCUAUAGAAGAAGCACCGGCCAACUACGUG
rnacentral:rRNA from 1 species